rnacentral:rRNA from 1 species
ACGUGGAUAACCUACCUAUAAGACUGGGAUAACUUCGGGAAACCGGAGCUAAUACCGGAUAAUAUUUUGAACCGCAUGGUUCAAAAGUGAAAGACGGUCUUGCUGUCACUUAUAGAUGGAUCCGCGCUGCAUUAGCUAGUUGGUAAGGUAACGGCUUACCAAGGCAACGAUGCAUAGCCGACCUGAGAGGGUGAUCGGCCACACUGGAACUGAGACACGGUCCAGACUCCUACGGGAGGCAGCAGUAGGGAAUCUUCCGCAAUGGGCGAAAGCCUGACGGAGCAACGCCGCGUGAGUGAUGAAGGUCUUCGGAUCGUAAAACUCUGUUAUUAGGGAAGAACAUAUGUGUAAGUAACUGUGCACAUCUUGACGGUACCUAAUCAGAAAGCCACGGCUAACUACGUGCCAGCAGCCGCGGUAAUACGUAGGUGGCAAGCGUUAUCCGGAAUUAUUGGGCGUAAAGCGCGCGUAGGCGGUUUUUUAAGUCUGAUGUGAAAGCCCACGGCUCAACCGUGGAGGGUCAUUGGAAACUGGAAAACUUGAGUGCAGAAGAGGAAAGUGGAAUUCCAUGUGUAGCGGUGAAAUGCGCAGAGAUAUGGAGGAACACCAGUGGCGAAGGCGACUUUUCUGGUCUGUAACUGACGCUGAUGUGCGAAAGCGUGG